AGAGUUUGAUCCUGGCUCAGGACGAACGUUGGCGGCGUGCCUAAUACAUGCAAGUCGAACGAAGUCGCCCAAUUGAUUCUUAGUGCUUGCAUUAAGAUGAUUUUGGAUCCGACUGAGUGGCGAACUGGUGAGUAACACGUGGGUAACCUGCCCAGAAGAAGGGGAUAACACCUGGAAACAGAUGCUAAUACCGUAUAACAACAAGAACCACAUGGUUCUUGUUUGAAAGCUGGCCUUUGUGCUAGUGCUUCUGGAUGGACCCGCGGCGUAUUAGCUAGUUGGUGAGAUAAUAGCUCACCAAGGCAAUGAUACGUAGCAGACCUGAGAGGGUAAUCUGCCACAAUGGGACUGAGACACGGCCCAUACUCCUACGGGAGGCAGCAGUAGGGAAUCUUCCACAAUGGACGAAAGUCUGAUGGAGCAACGCCGCGUGAGUGAAGAAGGGUUUCGGCUCGUAAAACUCUGUUGUUAGAGAAGAACAGCCGUGAGAGCAACUGCUCACGGUAUGACGGUAUCUAACCAGAAAGUCACGGCUAACUACGUGCCAGCAGCCGCGGUAAUACGUAGGUGGCAAACGUUGUCCGGAUUUAUUGGGCGUAAAGGGAGCGCAGGCGGUUUAUUAAGUCUGAUGUGAAAGCCUUCGGCUUAACCGGAGAAGUGCAUCGGAAACUGAUAAACUUGAGUGCAGAAAAGGAUAGUGGAACUUCAUGUGUAGCGGUGAAAUGCGUAGAUAUAUGAAGGAACACCAGUGGCGAAGGCGGCUAUCUGGUCUGUAACUGACGCUGAGGCUCGAAAGCAUGGGUAGCAAACAGGAUUAGAUACCCUGGUAGUCCAUGCCGUAAACGAUGAUUACUAGGUGUUGGAGGAUUGACCCCUUCAGUGCCGCAGUU
rnacentral:rRNA from 1 species